UACGGGGGGGGCAAGCGUUGUUCGGAAUUACUGGGCGUAAAGGGCCAGUAGGCGGCCAACUAAGUCGGAUGUGAAAUCCCCAGGCUCAACUUGGGAACUGCAUCCGAUACUGGAUGGCUUGAAUUCGGGAGAGGGAUGCAGAAUUCCAGGUGUAGCGGUGAAAUGCGUAGAUAUCUGGAGGAAUACCGGUGGCGAAAGCGGCUCACUGGACCAUUACUGACGCUGAUGCACGAAAGCUAGGGGGAGCAAACAGG
rnacentral:rRNA from 1 species